CACGUAGGGGGCAAGCGUUGUCCGGAUUUAUUGGGCGUAAAGAGCUCGUAGGCGGUUCGAUAAGUCGGGUGUGAAACCUCCAGGCUCAACCUGGAGACGCCACCCGAUACUGUCGUGACUAGAGUCCAGUAGGGGAGUGUGGAAUUCCUGGUGUAGCGGUGAAAUGCGUAGAUAUCAGGAGGAACAUCAGUGGCGAAGGUGGCGCUCUGGGCUGGAACUGACGCUGUGGAGCGAAAGCGUGGGGAGUGAAUAGG
rnacentral:rRNA from 1 species